GAUAUUUAUAUAAAUAAUAAAAAGAUUAUAUAGAUAAUAUUACAAGAUUAUAAAAUAUAAAUAAAAAAUUUAUACUUUUUUGUAUCAUUAUUAAAUAUUAUAAAUUAGUAAUUUUCAAAAUUAAUAUUUUACGUAGCAUUUAGUUUAAGCCAAUAGAAAAGCAGGAAGGAUUUGUACAUGCAAAGAGAUUCAGUACAAAGUUCGUUGAGGCAGACGCCGGUAGUCAGCAACAGUUCGUGCAGAAAAAAUAUGGAUAAGAGGGUGGUGAUGAAGAAGAAGGAGGAGGAGGAGGAGGUAGCUGGCGAUAAACUGCAAAGGGGAAAGGGUUGAGAAAGAGAAGAGAGGGAUAGCAGGGAUGAAAGAAGACUGGACGUAGCACAGUACAGACAAAUAUUUACACGUUUAUUUCCAUAUUCGAUAUCGAGAAACGAAUCGAUUGAUGUGUGAGAAAGAGAGAGAGAAAAUACAUGUGGCUCUCGACGAAUGAAAAAAAGAAUGAAGCCAUAACGUAUGAAGAUGCGAAAGAACGGGAAAACAAUGGAACUUCAACGUCGACCGUUCGUUGCAUUGUUUUCGUUAUCAUCGUCCGUACGUACGUGCAAAUAAACGAUCAAUAUUGAAAGGACUUAUUUUCUUACGACCGGAAUUAUGCUUAUCGCGAACGUCAGUACGUGUUCAUAUGUAUAUAUGAUGUGUAUAUGUGUAUAUAAGAUAUAUACGUUGAUGCAUAUGCGUGAACGUAUAUAUGUAUAUUUUAUAUAUAUAUAUAUAUAUGUGUGUGUGCAUGGUGUGUGUAUGACGAACAAUGAAAAAGAUAUAUAUAUUAUCGUAUUAGUCAAAAGAAAUUGAAUGAAACUAGAAUUUGUUAAGUAUCAUGUCUUUAAUUUUCUUUUAUGAUUUUUUAAAACAUUCGUCGUUUUCUUCGCAUGUUUUUUUCUUUUUCUUUCUUGUUUGUUUUUAACACGCUGAUUUUAUCGCGCACGAAUGAAAAUAAAAAAAAAAAAAAAAUUCUUUAUAAAGAAGCACCGAUACGUAGUAUGAUCUACGUAAAUAAUGUAUUUUUUAUUUUUAUUUAGAUAUUUGUAUACAAUAUCAUUUUCUUUUUUUUUUACGGAUUAGCUUUUUCUUUUUCUUUCUUUCUCUCUCUCUCUUUUUUUUUUUUUUUUUUUUAAAGAGAAUCUUGUUCUUAGAAUUUCCCUUCGAAACUUCGCGCGAUGGGUUUUUGACGAAAAGAAUCCGUUUUAAAGUACCCAGGUGAUCCGAAAAUCUUCUUAACUCGAUCAUCCUUGGUAAGAUUAUUUCGCGUUCUCACAAUAAGAUUAACUUUGACGUCUGGAAAUGUACGAAGUAUUUUCUCGAGAAGAUUUUGGCCCAAUUCACUGGUCACCCCGGUUAACAGUAUUUCACGAUUUGCGUACCACUCGCGAAGAGACAUGUUCGUUGACUGAGAGGACUUGCGAGUAUAGUAACUGACUUUCGAAUUCUCUAACACAUAUGCUUAUGUGUGAUUUUAUCUACAAUCGUAGUCGUUAGAAAGUUUUUUCCAGACUUGUUUUUCUUUAAAACGUGAUACUCUACAUAUCCUGAAGGAAAGAGAGAGAGAGAGAGAGGGGAGGGGGGGAAACAAUUAAUAGAAUUAAAAUAGAAAGAAAGAGAGAAAGAGAAAGAAAUUUAUUAAAGAGGUCAUGCAUAGUAUUGUAAUUUUCCAUUAUGCUAUUAAUCAAUUUUCUGUUCAUUGUAUUCUAAUUUCUAAUCCCUAAAUACAGAGAAUCUUUAGUGUUAGACAUUAUUUUUAUUGAUAUUUUAUUAUCAUACUAUUAUGCAUCUUUCUUUAAUUUUCCACUUGAGCAUUAACAAAUUUUCUAUUUGUAAUCUAUUUCUGUACCUGUUAUCUAAUUUUUUUUCUUUUGUUAUUUUCUUUUUUUUUAUAGAUUCAUAUCUCUUUAGUAUACUUUCUUGUUAGUGUUACUUACUUAUUAUCUUUAUUAGUGUUUUAUUCCCUUCAAUUGUCCCAGAUAAAAGGACGUAAUCUUUUCUUAUAUUUCAUUGAUUUUAUUCCAGUUAUAAAGAUCAGCUUCGAAUCACUUUGUCCCUAUUGUAGAUUUCUUGCGCAUUAAAUUAUCAGUUCCUUUAAAUGCAAAUUUCUAAUCAAGAUAUACGUCUGAUAAAUUUAAAUAAAGGACAGAUAACAUAAGAAAACAACGUUAUCUUGAACUUGAAAAAAUUUUGAUAGAAAUAGCGAGAGAUUAAAGUCGAUUAUCAUUAUGAAAUUUAUUCUAUAUAAAAUAUGAAAAAUAUCGUUCGUAUUUGUAAACAAAUACACGUAUAUACAUACACACAUAUAUAUAUAUAUAUAUAUACGUAUAGCGACGAUUGCGUUCCUUAUACAUUAAAGCGAAAACGAUUGAAAUAGGCAUAAGUUAUUAUGCAAAUUUAUUAACAUAACAUAAGGGUUGAACGUUGGUAAAAUAGUCGGUGUUUGUUUGCUGUUUAAAAAAGUACAAAGAUUUCCUUACUUGCAUAAUGUAAACGCGCUAACGAUCGUUAGCAUGCUUUUUAUAUAAGUAUACGAAGAUAGAACAAUAUUAAUGGUUAGGAAAUUUUUUCAAUUUUUUUAUUUUUAUUUUUAUUUUUAAACGAUACAUCGCAAUCGUAAAUUCUAUUGCAUACUCUUGGCGUAUUUCCAUUAGCGACUUUUUCGAGUAUAUUUUAAAUGUAUACAUAAGUACCUGCGUGUAUGUAUAUAUGUAUGUAUAUAUGUACGUAUGUAUUUACGUAUACAGAGAGUAACGAAAGGAAAAGUUAAUAUAGUAGUGUGUUUAGUAGAGAUGCUUUGUGCUGUCGACAACAUGAACAUUUUCUGUAACAACGAAUCCUUUUUAAUUACCUGUUUGCAUUUCUUUUUGCAAAUUUUACUAGUAAUACAUAGCAGAGUAGUACAAACAAGUGGUAAUUAUCUCUCGUUAUUACUAUACUUUUUCUCGAAUUAUGCAUUUUAAAUCAGAUUUUACCCAAUUGUAAUGCGAGGACAACGAUAAAAAAAAAGGGAAGAAAAAAAAAGAACAGAAAAAUAAAGAAAAAGUAAAGAAGACAAAACGAAAAGAAAAAUCAAAAUAAAUAUAUACCUAAUAAUGUUACAUGUUGCGAAUGUACAUAUACGAAAAA